rnacentral:rRNA from 1 species
AUUGAACGCUGGCGGCAGGCCUAACACAUGCAAGUCGAACGAGUGGCGGACGGGUGAGUCAUGUCUGGGAAACUGCCCGAUGGAGGGUGAUAACUACUGGAAACGGUAGCUAAUACCGCAUACCAUCGGAUGUGCCCAGAUGGGAUUAGCUAGUGGGUGGGGUACCGGCUCACCUAGGCGACGUUCCCUAGCUGGUCUGAGAGGAUGACCAGCCACACUGGAACUGAGACACGGUCCAGACUCCUACGGGAGGCAGCAGUGGGGAAUAUUGCACAAUGGGCGCAAGCCUGAUGAAGACAUGCCGCGUGUAUGAAGAAGGCCUUCGGGUUGUAAAGUACUUUCAGCGGGGAGGCGUUACCCGCAGAAGAAGCACCGGCUAACUCCGUGCCAGCAGCCGCGGUAAUAC